rnacentral:rRNA from 1 species
UUCUGAGCGGGGAUGCGGGGCGCGGCGGGCGAGCCUGAUCCAGCAAUGCCGCGUGAGUGAUGAAGGCCUUCGGGUUGUAAAGCUCUUUCGCCGGGGAAGAAAAUGACGGUACCCGGAAAAGAAGCCUCUGAUAACUCCGUGCCAACAACCCCGGUAAUUAUUCCUGGCAGCAACCGCGGUAAUUACUUCUUCCCAACGAAAAAAUUAAACCGAAAGCUUCUCAUCCGCGGGUUGCUGGUCGGGUUUCCCCUUGUCAUAUUCCACUGAAGCACAUAGCCCCCGGACCCCCCGACCCACCCGACCGCGUAUUAAAAAGAAAUAACCCCCCCCUUCCCACCCCAAAAAUAAAA